AAGCUCAAAUUAUUGAGCGCUCAAAAUAUUGAGCGUGUGACGUCAGAGGCUCCCAUAGGCGUAAUGCUGAGGGCUCAAAAAAUUGAGCCGUUUCAGGAACACGUUUUGCAAAAGCAACUCGCAACACCUAGGGAGAAAUGGCAACACCCUAGGAGAAUCACUAAUGAUGCAAAACAGAUUAGGCUUUCAUAUUUUUCACUGCUCAAGCUUCAAUGAUUGGGGGAACACCAAUUUCUAGGUCGAAAUCUUACGGCAUACCAGGAUGCCUUAAAAACAGGCCAAUAUUUAUGUCGAAAUAAAAGUUAUUUUUUGUCCAUUCACGUUUUUUACUAGGGUUCUGUUGGAAAGAGCAUUUUUCAUACUACCCAAAAUGAUUGCGACUCAAUUUCACAUCACCCAUAUCAGAGAAUAUUUUUCAUUUGGCGGCGCCGUUUGUUUAUUUCGUCGCGACGUCUCCGGUCGCGUGGUUGUCGUCGUCCUUGUGUUGAAGGUCUGCACAACCAAGCGGUCGCUGGCGAGGACGUCGGCCGUCCCUGUGGGUAAGGUCAUCUGCUCAGCCUUUGUGGAGAUCAGCAAGACGUCACCAAGAUGAAGACUUCGCUGGAGCAGAAGCCGCUGACCCGUGUCCGAUCGGGCAGGUCAUGCUCGACGGCACGAGCCACAACUUGAACGACUCGGUGACAUCAACAACAUGGUGGAGCAGGGGAAUGAGUUUGGCGACGUGUUGUGCAACUGCAAGAAGGGUUGUCUGCGUGUUCUGGCCGGCGGAGCGGCGACGCUGCGCAGUCUGUGCUGGUGGUGAGCAGCUGGCCGUGGUGACCGCGCGCGCCCACAUGCGCCGACAACCUGUGCGGCUUCGACGGCCCCGGGACAGCCCGAUGCCGCCCACUAUGCGACGCCGACCGCGCACUGUCCGCACGGCCACAUGGAGGUGUGCCCGCGCCUUUUGCCCGCACGCCGCUACCUCGCAGCUGGUCUGCAACCACGCCGUCGCCGCCUGUAGCCCGAUAACAAAACGGCUGUCUGAUAAUGCCGCGUGUUCUUUGUGAUGUUGCUACUGUGAUGGUUGCUACUGCUGGUCUGAGACUCGAUGUUUCCAUUCGUCUUUUACAUGUUAAGGAUUUGAUAAUGAUAAGCUUAGUCCGAGCUUAGGUCGUUUAUAUCAUUUGUUAUAUGGCAUAUUUUGGAUCAAAGCAGUACGACACUGCCUCCUGCUUUUGUGAUGUAUGCUGGCAAGACGCAGGUUCCGGUCGCAGCUCACCCGGUUCCAAUGUGGUCGGGCUGGCAUGCGAUAAUGUGAUGUUGUUUUGCUCGUCUCUGUGUUCCACACUUGAUGUUUGUGAAUCUAACCCACAUUGUAUAGUAUUUUUGUUUGUUUGCGGCCGAUGGCCUCGUAAGUUGUAACCGUGGCAAUACAGUUUUUCCUGUAUAAUUCUCCAAUAUUCAAGCGUGGGUGGAUAUCUUUCUGUAAUCACGUAUUCCCUUAUCCCAGUACUGUCAGAAAAUAUCAAUACAGUAUUCAUACGGAUUA